CCUACGGGCGGCAGCAGUGAGGAAUAUUGGUCCAUGGACGAGCGUCUGAACCAGCCAAGUAGCGUGAAGGCUGACUGCCCUAUGGGUUGUAAACUUCUUUUAUAUGGGAAUAAAAUGUUCCACGUGUGGGAUUUUGUAUGUACCAUAUGAAUAAGGAUCGGCUAACUCCGUGCCAGCAGCCGCGGUAAUACGGCGGAUCCGAGCGUUAUCCGGAUUUAUUGGGUUUAAAGGGAGCGUAGGUGGAUGGUUAAGUCAGUUGUGAAAGUUUGCGGCUCAACCGUAAAAUUGCAGUUGAAUAUGGCAGUCGUGAGUACAGUAGAGGUGGGCGGAAUUCGUGGUGUAGCGGUGAAAUGCUUAGAUAUCACGAAGAACUCCGAUUGCGAAGGCAGCUCACUGGACUGCAACUGACACUGAGGCUCGAAAGUGUGGGUAUCAAACAGGAUUAGAUACCCUAGUAGUC
rnacentral:rRNA from 1 species